GUCGAGCGGAUGACAGGAGCUUGCUCCUGAAUUCAGCGGCGGACGGGUGAGUAAUGCCUAGGAAUCUGCCUGGUAGUGGGGGACAACGUUUCGAAAGGAACGCUAAUACCGCAUACGUCCUACGGGAGAAAGCAGGGGACCUUCGGGCCUUGCGCUAUCAGAUGAGCCUAGGUCGGAUUAGCUAGUUGGUGAGGUAAUGGCUCACCAAGGCGACGAUCCGUAACUGGUCUGAGAGGAUGAUCAGUCACACUGGAACUGAGACACGGUCCAGACUCCUACGGGAGGCAGCAGUGGGGAAUAUUGGACAAUGGGCGAAAGCCUGAUCCAGCCAUGCCGCGUGUGUGAAGAAGGUCUUCGGAUUGUAAAGCACUUUAAGUUGGGAGGAAGGGCAGUAAAUUAAUACUUUGCUGUUUUGACGUUACCGACAGAAUAAGCACCGGCUAACUCUGUGCCAGCAGCCGCGGUAAUACAGAGGGUGCAAGCGUUAAUCGGAAUUACUGGGCGUAAAGCGCGCGUAGGUGGUUUGUUAAGUUGGAUGUGAAAGCCCCGGGCUCAACCUGGGAACUGCAUUCAAAACUGACAAGCUAGAGUAUGGUAGAGGGUGGUGGAAUUUCCUGUGUAGCGGUGAAAUGCGUAGAUAUAGGAAGGAACACCAGUGGCGAAGGCGACCACCUGGACUGAUACUGACACUGAGGUGCGAA
rnacentral:rRNA from 1 species